GCCUAUUUCAAUCAAAAGUGUAUAUCUUUGAGUUUUCUUUCCAAUGCACUUUGAAUCACUUCAAUUGGAGAUCGGGAGAGAAAGUUAUGAUCAAAAUACUGAAAACUAUCUGACGAAAAAAUUUCUAUAACCAUGCGGCCGCAUGGUUAUAAUUCCUUGCGGUCGCACAAGGCAGUACAGGGAAAAAUCUGGGCUGAAACUUUUGAACCAUGGUGUAGCAUGGCUUUAUACCAUGCGGUCGCAUGGUAUAAAAAUGUGACGAAAUCUCAGGUUUCCUUAUUCAAUUCAAACACGAUUUAGUAAGGUUUUGGGUGACUUCUUUGACCUAAUUCCGCCUCCAAUAAAUACCAGACGACCCUGAAACAUAAAGAGGGGGGAAUAUACACAAUUUUGGAGGAUUUGAAGAGAAAGAACAAGGCAAAAACAAGACAAUCCACUUCAAGAUUUAAGAUUUCACUUCAAGAAUCAAUUGGGUGACGUUCUUCCUUAGUUUUAAUUAUUGUUUUUCUUUAUUUCCCAUUAUGCUAGGCUAGAUUUUCAAUUACUAGGUGAUCGAUGAACCAUUGUUUGUUAUUUUAAUUCCAUAUUCCAUGAAUUUAAUAUAAAGACUCGUUUGGAUAAUUUGAUUGGUUUACAUGCAUUAAUUUUCUUCCGCAAUUAGUGGCCAAUGAUUGUGUGAGUGUUGAUGACUUAUUUCUUACAUUCGAGAGAAGUGGAAUAGGUUCGAUAAGGUGUAAAUUAACAUAGGGUCCUAUAGGGGAUAGAGAUAUACCCCUAUGCUUUAUGAAAUUCUUUAAUUGUUCACAAAACCACAUGCAUUCUUGUAUAUUUGCAUCAUCCAUAGAGAUAUACGCCGGUGGUGUGCAAGAAUAGGUCUAAUAUAUAUCGAGAGAAAAUAUUGAUAGAAUUAGGAACAUCGAAUUGACAAAUUUCCAUCAGGUCAUUAAUUUUAUGAAAUUAGGGUUUUUAUAACUUCAAUUGGGGAUUCGUGAUCCUAGUGACUUUAGUUUGAUUAAUUUCCAUAAAUUAGCUUUUGAAUUUGCAUAAUUUCAUUUACUUGAGUAUUUGAGUCAUUUAAUUAGAGAAAUUUCGAAAUUAGGGUUUCUAAUUGAAAAAUUAGGGUUUAUGAUAGAAAUUAGGGUUUUUAGUUGAAAUUAGGGUUUCUUAAUUGAAAUUAGAGCUUUUUGCAUUUAGACCAUAUUUUCACUCAAUUAGAUUCGGUUAAGGUUAGAUUAUAUAGAACUGAACUAUUCAAUCUCUGAGGGACGAUAUUCGGACUUUUUAAAAUCCACUUCAUUACUUGUUACGAAUCGUACACUUGCGGUAGUUUUAAAUCGAAAGAAUUAUUUCGUGAACAGGCAAUCUAAUUGAGCCACAUGAGUAUGGUGGUAAGGGAAGUCUUCC
rnacentral:lncRNA from 1 species